UACGAAGGGUGCAAGCGUUACUCGGAAUUACUGGGCGUAAAGCGUGCGCAGGCGGUUUUGUAAGACAGUUGUGAAAUCCCCGGGCUCAACCUGGGAACUGCAUCUGUGACUGCAUAGCUAGAGUACGGUAGAGGGGGAUGGAAUUCCGCGUGUAGCAGUGAAAUGCGUAGAUAUGCGGAGGAACACCGAUGGCGAAGGCAAUCCCCUGGACCUGUACUGACGCUCAUGCACGAAAGCGUGGGGAGCAAACAGG
rnacentral:rRNA from 1 species